GUGGGGAAUAUUGCACAAUGGGCGCAAGCCUGAUGCAGCAACGCCGCGUGAAGGAAGACGGUUUUCGGAUUGUAAACUUCUGUUCUUAGUGAAGAAUAAUGACGGUAGCUAAGGAGCAAGCCACGGCUAACUACGUGCCAGCAGCCGCGGUAAUACGUAGGUGGCAAGCGUUGUCCGGAAUUACUGGGUGUAAAGGGAGCGCAGGCGGGUGAUCAAGUCAGCUGUGAAAACUACGGGCUUAACCCGUAGACUGCAGUUGAAACUGUUCAUCUUGAGUGAAGUAGAGGUUGGCGGAAUUCCGAGUGUAGCGGUGAAAUGCGUAGAUAUUCGGAGGAACACCGGUGGCGAAGGCGGCCAACUGGGCUUUAACUGACGCUGAGGCUCGAAAGUGUGGGGAGCAAACAGGAUUAGAAACCCCAGUAGUCC
rnacentral:rRNA from 1 species